rnacentral:rRNA from 1 species
UAUUGCACAAUGGGGAAACCCUGAUGCAGCGACGCCGCGUGAGCGAUGAAGUAUUUCGAUAUGUAAACUUCUAUCAGCAGGGAAGAAAGUGACGGUACCUGACUAAGAAGCCCCGGCUAACUACGUGCCAGCAGCCGCGGUAAUACGUAGGGGGCAAGCGUUAUCCGGAUUUACUGGGUGUAAAGGGAGCGUAGGCGGCGAUGCAAGUCAGAAGUGAAAGCCCGGGGCUCAACUGCGGGACUGCUUUUGAAACUGCCAGGCUAGAGUGUCGGAGAGGUAAGUGGAAUUCCUAGUGUAGCGGUGAAAUGCGUAGAUAUUAGGAGGAACACCAGUGGCGAAGGCGGCUUACUGGACGAUGACUGACGCUGAGGCUCGAAAGCGUGGGGAGCAAACAGG